rnacentral:rRNA from 1 species
CCUACGGGUGGCAGCAGUGAGGAAUAUUGGUCAAUGGCCGAGAGGCUGAACCAGCCAAGUCGCGUGAGGGAAGAAUGUCCUAUGGAUUGUAAACCUCUUUUGUCAGGGAGCAAAGUCACCCACGUGUGGGUGUUGGAGAGUACCUGAAGAAAAAGCAUCGGCUAACUCCGUGCCAGCAGCCGCGGUAAUACGGAGGAUGCGAGCGUUAUCCGGAUUUAUUGGGUUUAAAGGGUGCGCAGGCGGGAGAUCAAGUCAGCGGUAAAAUGUCGGGGCUCAACCCCGGCCGGCCGUUGAAACUGGUUUUCUAGAGUUGGAGAGAAGUAUGCGGAAUUCGUGGUGUAGCGGUGAAAUGCAUAGAUAUCACGAAGAACUCCGAUUGCGAAGGCAGCAUACCGGCUCCAUACUGACGCUGAGGCACGAAAGCGUGGGGAUCGAACAGGAUUAGAUACCCGGGUAGUC